rnacentral:lncRNA from 1 species
CCACCAACCGGCAGGGGCCCCACCUGUAAGCGGCAGCGGCGGCUUGGCCGGCCCCUCUGUCAGGUUAAGUGGAGACGGGCUCCCACGAAAACCGCCUUCGCGACUGCAGACGUACCCUGGGAGUACGCCUUCGACGCCACCACUUCCCCUGCGAGGCUGGGCCACUGGGCUGAGCCCAGUAGGUGUUAUUUAGCUGCGCUUCGCCCAGAGCGCGUAAUAAGGGUAACUCCUUAUUCUCUUUCUUUUUCUUGGAAUAUUGUAAAAUACCUAAACAAUUCGUUUGUAAUCCCAAUUUAGUGAUUCAAAAUCCUAGUGACUCUAUAAAUCAUGAUCUAUCACGUGGUGCUACUUGUACAUUUUUUCAGAAACAUUUCCUUCACAAAUAUAUAUGAUAUCCCAUUUUCCCAUUUCUGUGAUAAACUUUAGAAAAUCACAGAGAGCCCAUUUUUGAUCAAAAGGACACGAUACACAUUCCUAGAUACUUAUAAGUUCUAAACUUAGAUUUUGAACAUUUUUUUCCAGUACUUUCUAUGCCAAAUGAAAUAUUGGUCCAUUUCUCCAUAUAUUGCCAACUUUGCAAAUUCAUAGGAAAAUCAUUUGAACUCAAAAUCCAGUGAAACCAACUCCUAGAUGCUUCUAAAAUCAUUCCUUGUUAAAUGGGUCCUUUUCUCAUUUUUCAAAAUAAUAUUUCUGUAUACUUCUUGCAAAUCCAUAAAUCCCUUGAAUCCUUCAUAUUGAAAUGUUCAAAAAUCCUCAUUGAUCCACAUACCAUAAAAACACUUUGGUCAUUUUUCAUAUGGCCAAAGGUAUCCUAGAAAAUUCCAGCUCACAUUUUUAGAGCAGUUUUAAUUUUGCCUUGUUGUGUUCCUUAUUGUGAUUGUUUCCGACGUUAGUUGAUGAAGUAGACGGAAUACUCAGAGAUGGACCAGAAGGAUUGAAGAUCUUGCGGAGCCAGGCAAGCAGCCCUUUGACAUGAUGCACCUCUCUUGUUCAUCAAUAAAUUUUCCGUAUGCAUGAUGACAUUGUUGAUUAUGAACUUGAUAUAACAUUGCAUUGAUGCAUGUCCGUUGUUACUUGCAUGUUCGUAGCUCUACCUUGUGCUAGAGGUGCAAUGAAAAAUACUUGAUAUUGACGCAUGAUGUUGCAUCUAUGCCAUGGUCAUUUCUUGGUUACAAUCCUUUGAAAACCCCAUCGGUGCCCCUAAUGCUCGUGGGUAAUGUUGAACUAGGUCAUCACUUGAUGAAGAAGUGGUGCACCGAAGCAAGUGAAUAUGUGUUGUUUACAGAGACAGAUUAGAUUUAAGACUUGUUGACCGUCCCAACUAAACAUGCGCAACCACUCUACCCUUAUAUGGGAAAGGGCAUUAUUGAUUACCUAGUUCAUGCUAACAUGGAUGCCCGCAUUACUAGUGACGGGAGUGGCGUGGUCACUCUCGGGACGGGGUCGUGCUAGGUAGGGCGGCCAUGACUAUUUUUAUAGGUCACCGGACACACCGUUGGUACCCCGUGCUUGUGAUAUGUGAUGAAUACGGGAGCGUGGCUCCACAAAUUUUUUUAGUAUGUGACAAUGUUUGGCACGGGGGCUGCUAACAAUCGAGUGGACUCCUUGUUAGGCACGGCUAGGGAAAGGUAGUGAUCGGGUGCUUACCCCAGGUACUUGAGGUACCAGGGGUCGUGGAUGACACGGAAGUUCCCAGGAUCUUGUGGGUAAAGUGUGCAACCUCUGUAGAGUGUCAAACUAUUCGAAUAGCCGUGUCCACGGUCAAGGACGGUUGGGUGCUGCUGCUUAGACUAUGUCCAUAUGUUUCUGACAAACAACACAGUUUGGUAGCAUUGUUGAUGUGAUUCGUGAGGAUGUCACGAUGAGCUUGAGCAUGAGUUGUUCAUAAAUCUUCCUUGACGUUGAUGUUUGUAACGUCUUGAUACUUAUUGCAGACGCAUUCAUGUCCUUGAUAAAUGUUGAUCAUACUUGCAUGAGAAAAACUAUCUUACCACCAACAUGCCAACAUAGUGAUAUUAUCAUGCAUAUGUCAUUUUGUUACCAUUCAUGGGUUGCUUGCAAGUACAUUCAAAGUACUCAUUAGCUUGCCACUGGUUAUUUUAUUGGCCAGGCAUGAAAGAAAAGGAUAUGAUGAAGAAUACUUUGGUGACGAACAUGCGAGCUAGGACGCUUCCCAGUCAGAAUGCCUGUAGGGUUAAGGCAGAUGACUGGGUUCACGCUAUCGUUGAAGAUUUCCGUUGCAAGUUUAUGAAGACUUGGCCAUAAAGGUCAUAUUUGAGUAAAACGGUAUUUACUGGGUGUAAGACUCUUGUUAUUCAAUUUCCGUGUGUUCAAUGAGCAUUGAUCUCUGGGAUCACUGUACACGGGCAUUCGGUGAUCACGACUUAUGAGUCGGGGUCCCCAUAGAGCUAGUAUCAGAGCCAUCCUAACUGUAGGAAGCCU